rnacentral:rRNA from 1 species
ACAGUGGACGCGAGCAUCUUUGUUGUAAGUGUUUAAGAGCGUACGGUGGAUGCCUUGGCACCAGGAGCCGAUGAAGGACGUAGGAGGCUGCGAUAAGCCUCGGGGAGCUGUCAACCGAGCUGAGAUCCGAGGAUGUCCGAAUGGGGAAACCCAGCCACAGUGAUGUGUGGUUACCCGCGCCUGAAUAUAUAGGGCGUGUGGAGGGAACGUGGGGAAGUGAAACAUCUCAGUACCCACAGGAAGAGAAAACAACAUGUGAUUCCGUGAGUAGUGGCGAGCGAAAGCGGAAGAGGCUAAACCAUGGGUGUGUGAUAGCCGGCGGGCGUUGCAUUCGUGGGGUUGUGGGAUCCGUCUUGUCAAUUCUGCCGGAUUGGCCGACAGUGAGAAAUCAUCGUGUUAGUCGAAGUGGUCUGGAACGGCCUGUCGUAGAGGGUGAGAGUCCCGUAGACGAAAACAUGGUGACUGUCGUGACGGACACCCGAGUAGCAGCGGGCCCGUGAAAUCUGCUGUGAAUCUGUCGGGACCACCCGAUAAGCCUGAAUACUCCCUGGUGACCGAUAGCGGACUAGUACCGUGAGGGAAAGGUGAAAAGUACCCCGGGAGGGGAGUGAAUAGUACCUGAAGGCGAGGCCGACAGGCGUAGUCGAUGGACAACGGGUUGAUAUUCCCGUACCCGUGUGAACGCGCCCCUGGUGAAUCAGUGAUGCUAAGCGCCCUGAAGCCGCCUUCGAACCUUCGGGUUCUCCGGUGUGUGGAUGCGCGUGAACCGAUCUGGUAGUAGCCAAGCGAUGGGGUGACGCAGGAAGGUAGCUGAGCCAGUCAGUGGUAAUACUGGUGUAAGCGUGUAGGGCGUGACCUAGGCAAAUCCGGGUCACACACAGCCUGAGACGUGAUGCGUAGCCGAUUGAGGCGAAUUCAGUGAUCCUAUGCUGCCGAGAAAAGCCUCUAGCGAGCUUUCACACGGCCCGUACCCCAAACCGACACAGGUGGUCAGGUAGAGAAUACUAAGGCGAUCGAGAUAACUGUGGUUAAGGAACUCGGCAAAAUGCCCCCGUAACUUCGGGAGAAGGGGGGCCUCGUCUGGUGACGGAACUUGCUUCCUGAGCUGGGUGGGGCCGCAGAGACCAGAGAGAAGCGACUGUUUACUAAAAACACAGGUCCGUGCGAAGUCGUAAGACGAUGUAUACGGACUGACGCCUGCCCGGUGCUGGAAGGUUAAGAGGACCGGUUAGCCAGUAAUGGCGAAGCUGAGAAUUUAAGCCCCAGUAAACGGCGGUGGUAACUAUAACCAUCCUAAGGUAGCGAAAUUCCUUGUCGGGUAAGUUCCGACCUGCACGAAUGGCGUAACGACUUCUCUGCUGUCUCAACCACAGACUCGGCGAAAUUGCAUUACGAGUAAAGAUGCUCGUUACGCGCGGCAGGACGAAAAGACCCCGGGACCUUCACUAUAGCUUGGUAUUGGUGUUCGGUUCGGUUUGUGUAGGAUAGGUGGGAGACUGUGAAGCGGGCACGCCAGUGUUCGUGGAGUCGUUGUUGAAAUACCACUCUGAUCGUAUUGGACAUCUAACCUCGGACCAUGAUCUGGUUCAGGGACAGUGCCUGGUGGGUAGUUUAACUGGGGCGGUUGCCUCCCAAAAUGUAACGGAGGCGCCCAAAGGUUCCCUCAGCCUGGUUGGCAAUCAGGUGUCGAGUGCAAGUGCACAAGGGAGCUUGACUGUGAGACUGACAGGUCGAGCAGGGACGAAAGUCGGGACUAGUGAUCCGGCACCGGCAAGUGGAAGCGGUGUCGCUCAACGGAUAAAAGGUACCCCGGGGAUAACAGGCUGAUCUUCCCCAAGAGUCCAUAUCGACGGGAUGGUUUGGCACCUCGAUGUCGGCUCGUCGCAUCCUGGGGCUGGAGUAGGUCCCAAGGGUUGGGCUGUUCGCCCAUUAAAGCGGCACGCGAGCUGGGUUUAGAACGUCGUGAGACAGUUCGGUCUCUAUCCGCCGCGCGCGUUAGAAACUUGAGGAAGGCUGUCCCUAGUACGAGAGGACCGGGACGGACGAACCUCUGGUGUGCCAGUUGUUCCGCCAGGAGCACUGCUGGUUAGCUACGUUCGGAAGGGAUAACCGCUGAAAGCAUCUAAGCGGGAAGCCUGUUCCAAGAUGAGGUUUCUCACCCCCUCGAGGGGGUAAGGCCCCCGGCAGACCACCGGGUUGAUAGGCCAGAACUGGAAGCACAGUAAUGUGUGGAGGUGACUGGUACUAAUAGGCCGAGGACUUACCACAA